rnacentral:rRNA from 1 species
GAUCAUGGCUCAGGAUGAACGCUGGCGGCGUGCUUAACACAUGCAAGUCGAGGGGAAACGACAUCGAAAGCUUGCUUUUGAUGGGCGUCGACCGGCGCACGGGUGAGUAACGCGUAUCCAACCUGCCCAUCACUUGGGAAUAACCUUGCGAAAGUAAGACUAAUACCCAAUGAUAUCCCACGAAGGCAUCCGAAUGGGAUUAAAGAUUUAUCGGUGAUGGAUGGGGAUGCGU